rnacentral:sRNA from 1 species
UUUGGCUGGACGGGAAUUUCAGCAGGUUUUUUUGUACCUGCAAAUCCGCCUGGAGUCGAUGGAGCGCUUUCAGUUCACGGUUAGCAGCAGGCGGCAUCCACAUACAUGGAACAUUGAAAAAGAAAUCGGCCAGAGGCAUGACAAAAGUAAGCCUGGUGCUGGUGGCGCAUAAGCUGGGAAAAAUCCUACCUUGUGUGGAAGGUUUAUCCUCAUGGAGAUUGAUUGAGGUAGGGGAGGUAGGUAGGUACUUAGCUAUCUAGCUAGGAUUCUGUCACGCAGGUAGGUGGUGGCUUUACUCUAUGUUUCGUUUUUCUUGUUUUUCCUUUUUUUUUUCUCGGUAUGGAUCCGUGUUUGGAACACUUCGUUUCAGAUCUUUUGUGCGGGGGUUUUUUUUUCUUCCUUGAUUUGUUUUAUUUUCCCUUGGUGGCGACGGUCCGAGGGUUUGGAAGCUUUCGGACAUUCCGGAGGGUUCUGU